UACGGGGGGGGGCAAGCGUUGUUCGGAAUUACUGGGCGUAAAGGGCUCGUAGGUGGCCAACUAAGUCAGACGUGAAAUCCCUCGGCUUAACCGGGGAACUGCGUCUGAUACUGGAUGGCUUGAGUUCGGGAGAGGGAUGCGGAAUUCCAGGUGUAGCGGUGAAAUGCGUAGAUAUCAGGAGGAAUACCGGUGGCGAAAGCGACUCUCUGGACGGCAACUGACGCUGAGGCACGAAAGCGUGGGGAGCAAACAGG
rnacentral:rRNA from 1 species